UAGGGAAUCUUCGGCAAUGGGGGCAACCCUGACCGAGCAACGCCGCGUGAGUGAAGAAGGUUUUCGGAUCGUAAAGCUCUGUUGUAAGAGAAGAACGAGUGUGAGAGUGGAAAGUUCACACUGUGACGGUAACUUACCAGAAAGGGACGGCUAACUACGUGCCAGCAGCCGCGGUAAUACGUAGGUCCCGAGCGUUAUCCGGAUUUAUUGGGCGUAAAGCGAGCGCAGGCGGUUAGAUAAGUCUGAAGUUAAAGGCUGUGGCUUAACCAUAGUACGCUUUGGAAACUGUUUAACUUGAGUGCAGAAGGGGAGAGUGGAAUUCCAUGUGUAGCGGUGAAAUGCGUAGAUAUAUGGAGGAACACCGGUGGCGAAAGCGGCUCUCUGGUCUGUAACUGACGCUGAGGCUCGAAAGCGUGGGGAGCAAACAGGAUUAGAUACCCUGGUAGUCCACGCCGUAAACGAUGAGUGCUAGGUGUUGGGUCCUUUCCGGGACUCAGUGCCGCAGCUAACGCGUUAAGCACUCCGCCUGGGGAGUACGACCGCAAGGUUG
rnacentral:rRNA from 1 species